UGAGGAAUAUUGGUCAAUGGACGAGAGUCUGAACCAGCCAAGUCGCGUGAAGGAAGACGGAUCUAUGGUUUGUAAACUUCUUUAGUGUGGGAACAAAGCGUGGUUGCGACCGCAGAUGAGUGUACCACAAGAAUAAGCAUCGGCUAACUCCGUGCCAGCAGCCGCGGUAAUACGGAGGAUGCGAGCGUUAUCCGGAUUUAUUGGGUUUAAAGGGUGCGUAGGCGGACUUUCAAGUCAGCGGUAAAAUUUCCGGGCUUAACCUGGUUGUGCCGUUGAAACUGAGAGACUGGAGUGCGCUUGAGGUAGGCGGAAUGCGUUGUGUAGCGGUGAAAUGCAUAGAUAUGA
rnacentral:rRNA from 1 species